UUUUGUUCCGGCCCUCCGGUCCAGUUUAAGAACCCAUUGUGGCCCUCGAGUCAAAAAGUUUGCCCACCCCUGCCCUAGGCCCAUCCACGCUGUUGCAAAAGGUAAGAUUUUUUUCUUUUUCACGGCCAAUGCCUGUUCUUAUUCAUAAGGGAACACAGCUUGAGAAGACUAAAGCAGAUUGUUCUCUCACCCAGUGCACUCCAGUGAACAUUGGUGCAAGUCGACUACACUUGAACUGGAGACCCCGAAUGAGAAGCCUUGGGUCAGGGUCCCACAGCCUCACAACCACAGCUCAGACAUGGCCCUGGAGCAAUGGCGUGGCCGGCCUGGCAGCCGCUUUGCCACGUCCACACGGAGCCCAUGUCAGCUGCGUCCUGCUCAGCGGCAGAGGUAUGGGGUGGGUGGCACUGCUCUCAGGGUUCACAGAACAUGGCAGGCGCCCCUGACUGGCAUGGCAGCAAAUGGUCCUAUACAGCUCUGUUUCUCUGAAAACAGGUACAAUACAGUAGAGUUCAAGUCCAGGAGAACUGUGUGGACACUGAGUACAAAGGUGGUGACCUCACCUGUGGCCACUGGGACAGACCGUCUGAGCUUCGGCAGCAGCCAGGAGUUCCCCACCUGAGCACCUGGCCUGUUUGUCCACAGGUAGGUGGUGACACCCACCCCCACCUCGGAAUUUAGCACGUGGGGCACCUAGAGGGGCAGGAAGAGGGUCCUAGCUUGGCACCCUCUCUCUUCCCAGGGCCCAGCCAGAGGCUGAGAAUAUUGGCUAAGAGGACCUGGGUUCAGGGCACGAACUUCUUACAACACAGCGUGACGUGCCCUUCCUGAAGGCAGCUGGGGGCUGCAGCCAUCCCAUGGCCUGGGGCAGCCCCCACGGCACCGGUGAAGCUGUGCACCCUAUGCCUGUGACAGGAUUCAUGUCACCUACACUUCCAUCUGCUCAAAACAACAUGUGCAUUUUUUAUAAAGUUUCCCUGAAUGGUUUUGUGUCAAAAAGUUUUCUUCCCCAAUAUAAAACAGGAAAUGUACACACGUAGUAAAAAUAUUGGAGUAUUUCUUCAUAGAAACCCUGGGACCGGCUGAGGGGGGGUGGGGGGAGCUGGGAGGACAGCGAUGUGCAAAGUCCAGCUCCACCCACCUCCACUGGGCAGUGGGCCAAGUGCAAACCCUGCGGGUGGCUUUGAAGGACUGAGGUUUUGGGGGAGUGGGGGGCUGUCACCCCACAGACUCAGUGAGCACCUUCUGGGCUGGCCCCUCGGCCGACCCUCACUGGGCUGGGCAGGCUGGGACAAACGGUCGUGAAAAUAAAGCAGAAACCAGGAACCAUGCUGACCGCAAAAGCUGCAACGGGAGGACCAUGAUUCUAAAGGGGAGGGAGGGCAGCUUCCCCAGGUUCGUGGGCUCACAACACAAACCGCACGAGAAUGGAGACUGCAAACUGGCACCAGCACGAACCAGGGCCCCACACUACUCACCCCAACCUAGUGCUCACAGCAGACGCCCCUGGGCCCUGGGCCUCGCUCCCUCCCAAGUGUGGGCCUGGCCAGCAGGCUGGCGCAAGUCUCCCAGGACGGAUGGACGAGGGACCCUCACUGCAGGAUGAAGCCUGGCUGGUGAGGCAGCCGGGGCGGGGGUCUCUGGGGGAGAGGUGGUGGGUAUGGCGACACAAACUGCGCGGGGAGGCCCAUGCGGGGGGGCAGGGGAGGGUACAGCGGGGCCUGUGCUGAGCCCAUGGCAGCGGUAAACGGUGUGGCAAAGCGUCCUGCAGGCACAGGGGGCGGGAUGCGCCGAGGCAUGACGGAGGGGGGCCCGCUGGCCUCCGGGGCGGCGGGCACUGGCUCGGGCACCCUGGACGACGGUGGGGCCGGGGCCUGCGGGAGUCUCUGUCCCUUUAGCACCAUCUCCUGCAGCUUCUCGAUCUUCACUCUCCGCACGUGGGCCAGUUUCCGCUGGCUCUGGUAGACGUCGAUGAAAGAGUCCAGAGGCAGCUCUCCCUCAAGAAACUUCUCUGCCAUGUCCUGAAAGCAGCAGGGGACACCUGGUCACAGGGGCAGCCCAGCCCUGGGGGGAGGACUCUCCCUCCACCACCCAGCAGCUCGGAGAGGCACCCCAACUUCCUCCCAACUCGGGCCCUCCUCCGGUCACCGCAGCUCCAUCCCCCACUGCUCUGCACGGCAGGCCUGGCUGACCCCACGGGCCCACCUCCCAACCACAAACUGGACGGCAGCAGGCUGGGAGAGCCGGCCUCAGGAUGCAGGGGGCCCCACGGCCCGGAUAGGACAGCACCGCGCCCAGUUCCAACCCUCUCCUACGCCAGCCCGAGGCGUCUGCUCCCUCCACUGGCUGCAUCCUGACACACAUGGGCUCAGCAGGACCAAAACUAGCUUGUGCCCACCAGGGUCCCAUCUGGACCCCUAUGCCAGACUCGCAGCUACAACUGUCCCCCAGAUUCAUGGCCUCACUUAGUGAGGCUCCAGCCUCCACUGCUUGGCUGAGUCCCGUGGGCACUUCCCACCUACUGACUCAGAGCAGAUGGCACCCCAGCGCCCAUGAGACCCUCGCUAGGUCAGCACAACAGGCACCCCUCACCUGAGGACCCCACUCCCUGCUGCACCCCAGCCCAGGCCACUUGGUUCAGGAGCAGCCUGGGAGGCACCGUCCCCGAGGGAACUGGGCCGGGACACUGGCUGUUUACCUCUGUGUCUUCCUCAAUCUUGGCUCCUUCGGCCUGAAGAAGUGCUAACAGGGUCUCCAGCGAAGCACUGCUGGGCUGUCUGUCUGGAAGAAGCCAGAGGCAGGGUGAGCAGGGGGGCUGACGCUCGGAAAUCACAGGGCCUCAGCCUCUCAACCACACCCCUCCCCUCCCCCUUCAAAGCACAAGCAUUGUAGCUGGAGAGGCGACAGCAGUCACACUGGUGAGGACUCUCCAGGAAGCCAGACUAAAUCUGAGGACAGGUGCACCUCGCCCCAGAGCCCAGGUCCCCCUGCCCCCCGGGGGACUGGGGCUGAUACUGAGCAUGCGACUCCCUCCACACUCCCCUCACGACAUCGCACUUCCUGCCUGCCACCCCGUGGAGCCCAUCACCGUCCAGUGGACAUGCAGAUGGUCCCCAAGUCCAGCCAACAGUAAAGCCACAGCCUCUGAGCCACAUCAACACCCACUUGGGGACUGGCACGCCCGGGGUGGAGUGUGCGUGUCUGUCACGCCCAAGGGCUGCGCAGUCUGCAUCCUCACGCACGGGGCACCAGGCGGCCGCUUCCCUUUCACUGUCUGGCUAGGUGUGUUCUGGCCCAUUUUUACCGAAGUUAUGGAGACAGUGGGGGGACCAGGCUAUCCGAUGCCCCUGUGACCUCUAAGGGGGUGGUUUUUAACCUCCUAACCAAGAAUUCUCCCUGAAACCUACCCAAAGCUCCCAGGACUCUAUUCUGUUCCCACCUUCUCUCAUGGCUGAAAAUUAAAGUGAGACAUUAAAAUGCAACGUCCCGGUGACAAUCAUUUCAACACUAACUCUGAGGGCCUAACCGCACAGGUGACGCAGCGGAGCCUCGCGGUUCAGACACUCCCCAGGCCGCCCCUUCCUCCGAGGUCUCCCCAGAAGAACACUGCUCUCCCGGCCGCAGCAGCUGGGAGAGGGCUCCCAGCUCCGUUCCUGGCCGAGCUCAUGGCCCCAAGUUACCUAGUUGGGUCUUCUUGAUCUGGUAGGCUUCGAACAGCACCUGCAGCUCCUGGUAUUUCUGGGUCAAGCACGCCUUCCGCGCGUCCAGCUGGGGCUGGUACAGGAGGUUCCCCUCGGCCAGGCUCCGGUUGCUGGCGAGCGUCAUUUCUUUGUUAAGCUGGACGCUCUGUGUCUGCAGGGAACACAGGACGGGGAGAACCCAAGCGUGUUAGUUUCCGGCCAGCCCCUCGGCUGCCUCGUGUGGAUGGCUUCCCGUUCUUAGAGAACAAACCACCUCCCUCCCCGCGAGCCUGCAGGGCGGGCUCUGUCCCGGACCGCUCCUCAGUGGCGGUGCUGACGGGAACACCUGGCUCCUCCCAGGAGGAAACAGGUUUUUUCAGACCAAGUGUCUGCUGCUCCAGGGGAAGUUAAAGAACCACUAUUGGAGGGGCCAGUGGGCCGACAUCAUGACCCAUGACCUUCAGGCCUGGGGCCCUGGGAAGGCGAUUGGUGCCCCUGAGCCUGCUCCCCUCGCUCCCACCCCGCCCACUGCAGCUCCCCCGCUGCGGUCACCAUCGGGCGAGCGGACCCUGAGCUGGGAGGGGACUGUUUGCCCCACAGGGGUUUCCUUCUGCCCUCUCCUUCCUCUCGGGAGGUGAGGGGGGGAUGGAGGGUGGUCCCUCCUGCUCUAGUUUCCUUCCACCCACCGCAACCUGCUUUCUGGACCUGAGGUUCAGCAGCACGCGGUCCCCACUAUUUGCCCGUUCUCUCCCUCAAGCCUGUGCCAGUCCUCCCUGCUUCCUGCACACCACCCCCCUUCUGCCCCCACACCCCUAUUUUCACUACUUCCUUCCUCUCCACAGUCACAGGGUAGGGCCCUGGCUGCACUGCCGCCACUGCCCCCUCGAGCCAUGCCCACCGGAGGCUCCCACACGGCUCCACACAUGCAUGCACGCACACAUGCAGAAGAGCACAUGCACGCACACAUGCAGAACACCUGCACAACUUGGUGGAGUAAGAGAACAAAGACGAGGCCCAUAGCCCACGCCUGCAGCAGGACACACACAGAUGAAGGGCCCCGGGCCCUAAAGAGUGGGCACAGCUUAACAAAUCGAAGGGAGAGACGCCUCCAGCUCAGCACUAGGAAUCUACAGCAGGAACCUCCCCUUUCUUGCUGCUGCGAGCCAGGCCUGGGGGCUGGCCGGGCCUUGGAACGGACUCAGGCACCACACACAGGCUCGGCAGGGCCCAGCAGGGGCUCCCUCUGCCCCAACCCACAGAGCGCUGGCCACCCGGGCAGUGUCCUGAGGUCUUCCCUCCGACUACUGAGAUUUCAAAGAAUGAACCAAGAAAAACAAAUACACCACCGUACAGCCGCUGAGACACGGCGCGGCAAUUCCUUUCAACACUAAACAUGCAAAUGCCACGCGACCUGGAAACUGCACGCCGGCAGCCACGCUCGGCCACGGUGCCCCUUCCUUUCCUGCCGCUACUCGCAAUGGGCACUGAGUGUGUGCUCUGGCGCCGUCUGCCCGGCUGGAACACGAACGCCACGGCAACCUCCCGUCACCUCCGGCGGGCCAGCGCCCAGCACGCGUCAGCUCGGCCACCUUAUUCUCGCGGGGUCAGAGUCAGGUCAAAGUCACGUCUACACGCCGGGAAGUCCCAGGGGAGGGGAACACAAGGAAGCAACAGGCUAGGAGCAAAAGGCAGUUCGUCUGCACAAAGAAGAGGGCAAAGCCACCGGCCAGCAGAGGAGGCCCACCGAGCGAGCUGUCAUUUUUUAGAUCCUUCGGGCGUUCAUGUUUUCACAUUUAAACAAACCAGUGACUUCUAAGUGGCCGCCAGCCCACACCCACAGCCUCUCCAGGUGGACACGGCUGCGGUGGCGGGAGCUUCUUUCUAAGCAGCUGACGAACCUCUUCCCACGCCCGGGCCCCACAGCAGAGCUGGGGCCGCUCAGUGUGACGCAGAAAGACACCCUCCCCCUCAGUGUCCCUUCCCGGUGCUCCGGGCGGGGGCGGGAGGAAACAGCGGAGGUGCUGGUGGGACAGAGCCCACGGCACUCGGCAGGCCCCGGGCCGCGCCGGGUGACAGCCCGACUCCCGAUCCUGGCCGCUGUGGCCGCUCGCUCUGUACAGGAACCUGAGACGCCGUGGAGGGGCCACCGCACUUCGGGAGCCGCGGUGCCGAGCCAGCAGACGCCUGAAAUUGAAAACUGUCGCCAACCCUCGAUGGUUCUCAUGAUCCUUUUUCUUAACCAGAGAGCAAUCUUUUCAGGAAAUAAUCUCGCUGUGGUAGGAAGCAUGUUUAUCGCUGUGCUCGGUUUCACUGCAGUUCCCCUUUCUGCUCACGAUGGAAGGAAAAUGAGCUGCCGAAGCAGCGUUUACAGCAGGACCCGACGGCCGGGGCCAUCUCUGCCCAUCUGUCUCCCCUGAGCAGCGCUGUCUGGAUGGGUGUCCCCCCAAAGUCAACGGCGGCUCUGGACUGUGUGACCUUGUUACUUUCUCUUUUCUGCUUGUAUAUAAUAAACGUACAAAUUUACUGAAAAA